UCAACAUCUAGUCCAACCCUAUUUUUUCCAAAGGAACAACAGGCCCGACCCAUCUCGUUUUCCCCUUCUUCCACCAUGGCGGCGCGCCCGGCCGCCGCAUCGCCGCGCCGGCGGUGGCUCGUCCCAGCUGCCAUCCUCUCUACCCUCUAAAUCCCUCCCGCGUCCGACCCCUCCGCCGCUCCCUGCCCCCCGCGGCCACGCCCAACGCGGGCGCCUUCCGCCGCUCCCUGUCCAUCGCGACCACGCCCGACGCGGGUGCCCUACGCCGCCCACGAGCCCGUCGCGGCCACGCCCUUCGCCGCUCCCUGGCAAGAUCCUCUCCCCGGCUCGCGCGCCGCCUGCCCGCUGGUGUUGUGUUUAUAUAUUGGAUGAUGAGCAGAAUGGAAAUCAUGAUGAAGCAAUGGGUAAUCUAGUUCAAGAGCCUCUUAAGAAGGGACCCGAUAAAAGGGAACUAGAGCAAGACGACGGUAAGGGCGAACGCACUGACGGCAAAAGCAUUGGAAGUGGUCGGUAAAUAUCCAACACCUGUUGCAAAAGUCGAUUUUGGAAUGGUUGAUGGAAUUUGUAUUUGACCAAGCACAUUCAAUUAGAAUAUUCUCACAUUGUUGUAGUAUUAAGUUUAAUUUCUCAAACUCACCUGACUGCAUUCGGCAGCAGGCUAAGUAUUGAAAUUGUGAUUGUGCAUACAUAUUUUUUUUGUAAUUAACACAUUAAGAUUGUCAUAGAUUUGCUUGAGUAUGAGAAGCGGACAACUUGAAGUAGUUGAGCGGAGUAGCUAGGAGCUGACUGCGGUGAAGAUGCCAAAGCUGGAUGAGCAGGGCAUGCGGCUCAUAUUGGUAUUGCAAUUUCUCCCCAAGAUGUAUCAUAGUAUUCAUAUCAUGAGGAAAUUCUCUAUCCUAUAUUCUGGGGCCGACCCUUAGGUAAUUUAGUGAAAUUAAUGUUACCCACUUCUGAUACAGAAAUUAAUAUACCCAAGCAUCAUUAUAAUAUGAGUUUUUCAUUAAUUUCUGAACUAUUAUGCAGCAAGUACAAGCACCACUUACACUUAUGGAUUUUAUUAUCUUUAAUCUGUGAUAUUGCAGGAUGGUACCAGCAAAUACCUCAAUUUUCUUAUUAUUUAUUUGAUUGAGUUUUAGAAUUCCCCAAAUUUUAUAGGAUACUAGGAGUGAUACUAGCCAAGUAGCCAUAAAUUUCCACAUACAAUGCCCUAACUUCUGUCCAAAUUCUGUAGAUUAUAUCAUGAAUUUUGGAGUAACGAGACUCUUGGUCGCAUAACCAGUAACCUAUGUCUCCUUCUUGAAAGUGUUGUUUUAUAAAUAUGCAUUGCAUUUUAUUAAGUUUUAGUAUAUGAGUGACAUAAAACUACUUAAACAAAGAUGGCGUUGCUGCUGCUGCAUUAUGACCUUGCUCUUGUUCUUUGUGUAGAAGCCAAUCAAGUUUUUCUCUGUUCUUGCUAUACUUGCUUCAUCACAAGCUAAUUUUAAUUUUGUACAAUUAAAUGUUGCUCCUGUUCUAACGGUAUGGAAGUUUUGAUCCAAGUGUUGUUGCAUGGGUGAGAAUGAUCCAAACUAGAAGAUGGUGAUCAAGUGGUGGAGAAAACUGUAGCUUUUGCUCGCCACCAAAAGAAGCUAAGUUGCAAAGUGGAGGAGAUUUUUGUUAUUUAGUUCUUUGAAGAACUGUGUAGUGUUUGAAUGAAUGCAAUUUAUUUGAGUGUGAAGUAGGUUAGUCAAAAUCUGAUUCACUAAUCGUGUAAUGUUUGAAUGAAUGUAAUUUACACCAUGGAAUGUUCUCUUUUUUGUCCUUUUCAUUAGUUGUUACUAGAUCAUGUGAUUUUACUAUACAUGUUGGGGUAUUUCUCUUGUUA